rnacentral:rRNA from 1 species
CGGAAUGGAUAAGCGCUGAAAGCAUCUAAGCGCGAAGCCAACUUCAAGAUAAGAUUUCCCACCGCAAGGGUAAGACCCCAGAAAGACUAACUGGUUGAUAGGUCGAAGGUGUAAGUGCAGCAAUGUAUUUAGCUUAUCGAUACUAAUAGGUCGAGGACUUGACCAAU